GGCCAUAUUACGUUGAAACACCUGUUCGAUCACUGAAUUUAAGCAACGUACAGCCUGGUCAGUACCUAGAUGGGUGACCAUUUGGGAACACCAGGUGCUAUA